rnacentral:rRNA from 1 species
AGUGAGCGCUGGCGGUAGGCCUAACACAUGCAAGUCGAACGGCAGCACAGUAAGAGCUUGCUCUUACGGGUGGCGAGUGGCGGACGGGUGAGGAAUACAUCGGAAUCUACUUUUUCGUGGGGGAUAACGUAGGGAAACUUACGCUAAUACCGCAUACGACCUACGGGUGAAAGCAGGGGAUCUUCGGACCUUGCGCGAUUGAAUGAGCCGAUGUCAGAUUAGCUAGUUGGCGGGGUAAAGGCCCACCAAGGCGACGAUCCGUAGCUGGUCUGAGAGGAUGAUCAGCCACACUGGAACUGAGACACGGUCCAGACUCCUACGGGAGGCAGCAGUGGGGAAUAUUGGACAAUGGGCGCAAGCCUGAUCCAGCCAUACCGCGUGGGUGAAGAAGGCCUUCGGGUUGUAAAGCCCUUUUGUUGGGAAAGAAAAGCAGCAGGUUAAUACCCCGCUGUUCUGACGGUACCCAAAGAAUAAGCACCGGCUAACUUCGUG